CCAAUAGCGUAUAUUAAAGUUGUUGCAGUUAAAAAGCUCGUAGUUGAAUUUCGGGAUCGACGGGUCGGUCGCGCCUCUGGUGUGUACUGGCCCUGUCGGUUUCUCCCUUCUGACGAACCACGAUGUCAUUAAUUUGGUGUCGUGGGAAAUCAGGACUGUUACUUUGAAAAAAUUAGAGUGUUUAAAGCAGGCAUUCGCUUGACUACAUUAGCAUGGAAUAAUGAAAUAGGACGUUUGAUCUUAUUUUGUUGGUUUCUAAGAUCGACGUAAUGAUUAAUAGGGAUAGUUGGGGGCAUUAGUAUUCAAUUGUCAGAGGUGAAAUUCUUGGAUUUAUUGAAGACUAACUACUGCGAAAGCAUUUGCCAAGGAUGUUUUCAUUAAUCAAGAACGAAAGUUAGGGGAUCGAAGACGAUCAGAUACCGUCGUAGUCUUAACCAUAAACUAUGCCGACUAGGGAUCGGAUGAUGCUAAUUUUUUAAUGACUCAUUCGGCGCCUUACG
rnacentral:rRNA from 1 species